rnacentral:rRNA from 1 species
ACGGGUGAGUAACGCGUGGGCAACCUGCCCUAUCGCUCGGGAUAACCCUCGGAAACGAGGGCUAAUACCGGAUGCUGUCUUGGAGUCGCAUGACUCUAAGACGAAAGGGUUACCGCGAUAGGAUGGGCCCGCGUCCCAUUAGCUAGUUGGUAGGGUAACGGCCUACCAAGGCGACGAUGGGUAGCCGGCCUGAGAGGGUGGACGGCCACACUGGGACUGAGACACGGCCCAGACUCCUACGGGAGGCAGCAGUAGGGAAUCUUGCACAAUGGGCGGAAGCCUGAUGCAGCGACGCCGCGUGGGGGAUGAAGGUCUUCGGAUCGUAAACCCCUGUCCUUGGGGACGAUGAUGACGGUACCCAAGGAGGAAGCCCCGGCUAACUACGUGCCAGCAGCCGCGGUAAAACGUAGGGGGCGAGCGUUGUCCGGAAUUACUGGGCGUAAAGGGUGCGUAGGCGGCCGUUUAAGUCCUGUGUGAAAGGCCCCGGCUUAACCGGGGAAGGUCAUGGGAAACUGGGCGGCUUGAGUGCCGGAGCGGGUUGCGGAAUUCCAGGUGUAGCGGUGAAAUGC